rnacentral:rRNA from 1 species
ACGAACGCUGGCGGCAUGCCUAAUACAUGCAAGUCGAGCGGUGCAGCAAUGCAUAGCGGCGGACGGGUGAGUAACGCGUGGGCAACCUGCCUCAAAGGUUGGGAUAACACCCCGAAAGGGGUGCUAAUACCGAGUGUGCUCUAGGUGCCGCAUGGCAUAUAGAGGAUAGGAGAAAUCCGUUUUUGAGAUGGGCCCGCGUCUGAUUAGCUAGUUGGUAGGGUAACGGCCUACCAAGGCGACGAUCAGUGGCCG